rnacentral:rRNA from 1 species
UGAUCCGGGUUGCGGACAGUGUCUGGUGGGUAGUUUGACUGGGGCGGUCUCCUCCUAAAGAGUAACGGAGGAGCACGAAGGUUGGCUAAUCCUGGUCGGACAUCAGGAGGUUAGUGCAAUGGCAUAAGCCAGCUUGACUGCGAGCGUGACGGCGCGAGCAGGUGCGAAAGCAGGUCAUAGUGAUCCGGUGGUUCUGAAUGGAAGGGCCAUCGCUCAACGGAUAAAAGGUACUCCGGGGAUAACAGGCUGAUACCGCCCAAGAGUUCAUAUCGACGGCGGUGUUUGGCACCUCGAUGUCGGCUCAUCACAUCCUGGGGCUGAAGUAGGUCCCAAGGGUAUGGCUGUUCGCCAUUUAAAGUGGUACGCGAGCUGGGUUUAGAACGUCGUGAGACAGUUCGGUCCCUAUCUGCCGUGGGCGCUGGAGAACUGAGGGGGGCUGCUCCUAGUACGAGAGGACCGGAGUGGACGCAUCACUGGUGUUCGGGUUGUCAUGCCAAUGGCACUGCCCGGUAGCUAAAUGCGGAAGAGAUAAGUGCUGAAAGCAUCUAAGCACGAAACUUGCCCCGAGAUGAGUUCUCCCUGAGACUUUAGGUCUCCUGAAGGAACGUUGAAGACGACGACGUUGAUAGGCCGGGUGUGUAAGCGCAGCGAUGCGUUGAGCUAACCGGUACUAAUGAACCGUGAGGCUUAACCUUACA